CGGGCGGAGGCGGCGGCGGUGGCGGCGGGGCCCGUUGCCCCCGCCCGCCCCGGAGAGCGCGGGCGGGCGGGCGCGGAGCGGAGCGCUGCGGACGUACCUUCUUGUCCUCUUUGUCGCUGCUGUGCCGCCGCUCCGGGUGGCCGCUGUCGGCGGCGGGGGCCGGCUCGGCGGGCUGCCCAUCGCGGUGGUGCGGGCGCUGGUGCGGGCAGCCGCCAGCCCCCGCCGCCGGGGGGAUGGGCUCCGGGCACGGAGAAACUCCCUUAACAUCCAUCUCCAUCUUCCAGUUCACUGAGCGAGGUGCUGGCGGCGAGCGGAGCCGAGCAUUGACCCGGGUGUUGCCUUUAUUUUAUUUUCCCCUCGCCUCCCCCCAGCACCACCCGCCCUGCAGAUGGGGGCUCCGAGCUGCUGGCGGCGGCCGGAGCGGCUGCGUGGGGCUGGAGCUCCCUCUGCUCGGGCUGCCGGCGCCACGCAGCACUGCACGGCGAGAGCGGAGCGAGGAGGGAAACGGAGCCAAUUCCGGCAGGGAAGCUACAAGCAGGACCCGCCGCCGGCCCUCCGGGUUGCUCCGCAAAAAAAUACAGCCCGAAAAAUCGCCGGUGAGCUCCUAAAUCGAUCGUGGCAGCAGCGUGCCCGCGGUUACUUCAUUCCCCUCGGCAGCUUCCUUCUCAGACC
rnacentral:lncRNA from 1 species